UUAGGAAUCUUGCGCAAUGGGCGAAAGCCUGACGCAGCAACGCCGCGUGAGGGAUGAAGGCUCUCGGGUUGUAAACCUCUUUCAGCAGGGACGAUUGUGACGGUACCUGCAGAAGAAGGACCGGCCAACUACGUGCCAGCAGCCGCGGUAAUACGUAGGGUCCGAGCGUUGUCCGGAUUUAUUGGGCGUAAAGAGCUCGUAGGCGGCUCAGUAAGUCAGAUGUGAAAACUCAGGGCUCAACCCGGAGACGCCAUCUGAUACUGCUGUGGCUUGAGUCUGGUAGGGGAUCACGGAAUUCCUGGUGUAGCGGUGAAAUGCGCAGAUAUCAGGAGGAACACCGAUGGCGAAGGCAGUGAUCUGGGCCAGUACUGACGCUGAGGAGCGAAAGCGUGGGUAGCAAACAGG
rnacentral:rRNA from 1 species